rnacentral:misc_RNA from 1 species
CUCGUGAUGUGUGCCAAUCUUUUAUCUCAAUUAACUAUGUGAAUUUAACAUCGUAAUAAUAAUAAUAAUAAUAUUUGUGGACUUUUGUAUAGAGAGGAGGUCAUUGUCUAUUGAAUCAGCUACAAGUUUAAUGUCCUUUUAGACUUCAACUAAUUUCUUUUUUUUUUUUUAAAUGGAUUAAUUAAGAUAUAAGAUAUCAUAUCAAAAAAAAAUUUCCCCUGAAAGAGUAACAUACCUUGAUAACUCUCUAUCCAAACAACUCAUAACACUAGUGAUUCAUUAGUCAGUUACUAUUACCCUUUUAGAUCAUCAUGCUGUUUGGCUUAUAAUUAGGUAGUCAUUGUUUAGUGUGAACUAAUUUUCCUUCAAAAUCCAUAUGGAAAUGGAACAAAUAUUGUAUCUAGCCAAUUUCUUUAUUGAGACAGUGAAAUAAUCAUCUUUGGAAUGCAAAGAAAGAAUUUGGUAACCUGAAAUUGCAAUACUAGGUCAAAGUUGGCAAAUUUCUAUAUAUGACACUUUACUUUGUUGAUUUGUUUGUAGGGAGGAGACUUGAGAUAUUGUCGGAAGUGUUCUCACUAUAAACCUCCUCGCGCUCAUCAUUGUCGCAUUUGCAAAAGAUGUGUGUUGCGAAUGGUAUGCAUGAUAUGUAUUUUCAUUCAUGCCUUAUCUCAAAUAUUUUGGUUAGAGUUUAAAGUGCUUCCUGUUGACUGUAAAAGGACCACCACUGCGUUUGGAUAAAUAAUUGCGUAGGCCAUGCAAACUAUAAGGCGUUCUUCAUAUUUGUUGUGUACGCUGUAAUUUCGUGCAUUUAUUCGCUGGUAUGUCAUUAUCCUCACUCCAAAUGUGGUUUGAUUACCUUCUAGCGUCUACUUCUACCACACAACUAUUCAUAUAUCACUUAAUGCAUUCAAAUGGCUAGCUUGUUGUUAUCAUUUGUUUUGUAUGGGAUGGUUUCUUUUCUUUUGUGUUUUUUCACAUUAUUGAAUAGAAAGCUCAUAAUAAUUUCUUUUAUUUCUGUCAAAUAAAUUCUUCAGGUCUUGCUUGUCGGUAGUCUAACUGUCGACCCUGAAAAGGAUGACCAACAAAAUGGUGGCUUUUCCAGAAGCAUAUAUGUUAUAUCUGGGUUGUUGUUAAUCCCCUUAAAUGUUGCGCUCGGCGUUCUUUUGGGUUGGCAUAUCUACCUUAUCUUGCAAAACAAAACCACCAUUGAGUAUCAUGAAGGAGUGAGAGCUUUGUGGCUUGCAGAGAAAGGAGGGAACAUUUAUAAGCAUCCAUAUAAUAUUGGAGCUUAUGAAAAUCUGACAACUGUGAGAAACUUGCACCACUUUGCUUUUCUUUCUAGCAUAAAUAAUCUAUUGUGCAUCUUUAGAAAUCUUGGAACAUGGAAGGAUUGAGUACUUGGUCUUCAAUAUAAUGUUCAAAAUGCAUGCCUCAUUGCAUUGAUCCAUUUUGUUGGCCAUUGCUUCUUGGCUGAUGACAGGUUGAUUUAGGUUCCAUCUAUUUCAUAUUUUCCAUGAAAGUCCACAAUUUCUCGUAUUUUAGGUUGCUUAGGAAAAUUGACCAACAUUAAAAAAAAAUGAUUAAAGAGAAAACUUAGCCAUCUUAAGGUAACUUCCUAUUCUGAAAAUAAUAAAAUCAUUCUCUAGAUUUUCACAAACUAAUAGAAAAAAAUAGAAAUGUCUAGGAAAACCACAUAUUUUUUUCAUACUCGCAAGUUUAAUGAUCAUUACCACUUGCGGAUCUAGGUGGGUGGUAGUAGGGUUAAUUGCCACCACUGGCCCCGCUAUUUAUUUAUAAAAUUUGUGCUAUAUUUUUCAAUUUUAAGAAAUUUCCAGCCACUCAAUUGAUUUAAUUGUCCCAGUAUCAAUAUAAAAUUUUCAUAUAAUUUGUAUAUCUGUGUAAUUGCCUCACUAAACUUUAAAUAUGCUGCUAGCCUGGUUGGUCUUCCUCCAUCUUUAAGAUGUAAGAGAGGAGGAAGUCUCGAGUUCGAGUCUCUCUGUCUACCUACUUUGAGAUUUAUCACUUUUAUGAUGAGAAAGGAAGAUGAUUACCUUUCCCUAGUUAGUUUGCAGUUAUUAUCAUAGCCCAUCGGACUUUCAUUAAAUCCAAAAUGAAAUUUUAAAUAUGCCUUCAUUAAAAUCAAAUGAUUAUAGUUUUUUAAUACAUUGAUAUGUGUGUGUGUGUGUGUGUG